CAAGUACUCCCUCCGUCCGAAAAUACUUGUCAUCAAAAUGGAUAAAAAAGAUGUAUCUAGAACUAAUAUACAUUUAGAUACAUCCCCUUUUAUUCAUUUUGAUGACAAGUAUUUCCGAACGGAGGGAGUACUAC
rnacentral:pre_miRNA from 1 species